rnacentral:rRNA from 1 species
UACGGGGGGAGCAAGCGUUGUUCGGAUUUACUGGGCGUAAAGGGCGGGUAGGCGGCCACCGCAAGUCAGUUGGGAAAUCUCUGGGCUUAACCCAGAAAGGUCAACUGAUACUGCGGGGCUAGAGUGCAGAAGGGGCAACUGGAAUUCUCGGUGUAGCGGUGAAAUGCGUAGAUAUCGAGAGGAACACCUGCGGCGAAGGCGGGUUGCUGGGCUGACACUGACGCUGAACUGCGAAAGCUAGGGGAGCGAACGGG